CACGGUGUGAACCCGACUGAAUCACAGGCCGCUUUUUUGUUCUCCCUCGGCCUUGGAGGGCCUGGGACGUUCCUGUUGCCCAACAUCCUGGUGAGCUGAGAACAUUCUGUAGAUUAAUUAGGUUCUCUCCUCUGGCUCAGCAGGUCUGUUCUAGCCAUUUGACCAAAGGCUCUCUGAUAUUUUCUACCAGCCUUAGAACGACAGUCUGCAGAUGUGUGCACAUAAAUGUCUGGGAGGAGCACACAGAUACUGUGGGAGGAGUGGGUCCGGCGUAGCUAUUGGGAGAUCUCGCUCGUACACAUGGCGCUACAUAGAAAGAAUGCCCUGAGGUGAAGGUGACAGCUCGGCAGUUUCUUAAUACCCUGAACUUGAGCGUGGCCUGCGCUAGAGAAAAUACACGGUGCUUCUUAAAAACAAAAGCCAGCAGCCUGCAAGAGGGCUGUGCCUGCGAGUUCCUGGGAGCAGGAGGGGGCUGUUCCUCCGCCCCUGGCUCCAGUUUCACCCAAGUCACUUCACAGCAGUUGGAAGGAGGUCACCAAUUCUCGUUUUGUAUAGGAGGCUGCCACCUCCCAAAAGCCCCCUGCUCCUCGAGUGGGUUGAGCCUGAAACCCCACAUCCACAGACGUGCCCAGCGGCCUUGGGUGCUCAACACAGGCUCGUUCAGAAUAACAGAGUACACCAGUCAUCAUAAGAAGAAAAAUUCACAUUUAAAGUUUGGAAAGCAACAGGACAAAGGUCUGUCUUCAGUGGUGCGUAGACAUGCUCGUGAUUGAAUUGGAAAUAGUUCUCUUUCCUUCUCUCUGACUUCCUAACUGAAAAGCUGCAGCGUGGGGAGAAAGGCUGCUCAGAAGCCUGGAGCCAGAACACGCACCCCGGCUUUUGCAGGGCCGGCUCACUUGGUUAGAAUCAAAGGAAAAGCCUUGUUAUUUGGGAAGCUGGGCGUCCUCACCAAAUUAGGGGAUUUAAUUUGCAGAUAUCUAAGGAGUGCUUUGAAAUGAAAGAUGAACUAAAAUCUGCUCUGAGGCCCGUGAUUUUUCACCAGUGAAGGACUCUCUUGCUGCUGGACAUACAUGAAAAGCAUCAUCUGAUCUGAAACGCAAGUCCCUGCAAGACAGAGGAGAGACUUUAUAAACAUUUUAUACCAUUCUAUGAAAUCAAUUCGAUUCAGGGCUAGAAUUCAAGAAGUAAUCCAUGGGCAAGUAUAUCUGAUGGUAAACCCAAACGAUUAUAUUGUUAACCUCUUGUACUUUUUUUAAUUUUUUAUUAUUUGAUAUUAUUAUCACAAAAGUCGCUGGAACAGGAUCCAUGAGCUGCUUCUUCACUGCUUAGUGUUUUCAGAAGCUGAUGGAUUAUUAAGCUCCAAUUGAAUACUUGAUUUCCAAUGAUUCCAUUAAUUUUUCUGGUUUGUGGUAGGAUUUGAUUUACUUAUUUUGUACUUUAACACACCAAUAAAAAAUAGAUACUAAGAAA
ensembl:lncRNA LINC00683 long intergenic non-protein coding RNA 683